ACGACGCGAGAAGCGAAAGCUGGGGAGCGAACAGGAUUAGAUACCCUGGUAGUCCAUGCCGUAAACGUUGGGCGCUAGGUGUGGGACUCAUUCCACGAGUUCCGUGCCGCAGCUAACGCAUUAAGCGCCCCGCCUGGGGAGUACGGCCGCAAGGCUAAAACUCAAAGGAAUUGACGGGGGCCCGCACAAGCGGCGGAGCAUGCGGAUUAAUUCGAUGCAACGCGAAGAACCUUACCAAGGCUUGACAUAUACCGGAAACAUCCAGAGAUG
rnacentral:rRNA from 1 species